CUCACGCCUACAAAUGAGGGCGACGUGAUAAACAGCACAGCACGCGAAAGGGUACGUGAACGCCAACGAACGGCGUGCCGCCAACAACUGCAUGGGCUGUCACUUCAGUGUAUUCUUCCCGCCUUUGGAAGAAGCAUUUUGGACUAAAGCUACCUUGAUAUGUACAAAACAUGGGAGACUACGUGCAGGAUUAUGAAUGGCUACCUGAAUGCUGCUUGAAGCAGCGAGCUCUACAGCACCACUCAUGCCCCUUUCCAUGGGUUGGCAAGAGGAGCAGUGGCACACAACUCUACAGGCACUUGUGCUUUUUAUCAUCUUUGGAGGAGAUGUAUUGGCAGCUGCAGGUGGUCCCUUCUCAUACGCCAUGCCAAGGAGUCCUGCAAUCCGAGUCAUGCAUCACUGCCGGUGACUG
rnacentral:lncRNA from 1 species